rnacentral:tRNA from 1 species
GGUGCUGUGGCAUAGUGGGUAAAGCGGCUGCCUGUAGUGCUGCCAUCUUAUAUGGUCACUGGUUCAAAUCCCAGCUGCUCCA